rnacentral:rRNA from 1 species
UAAGGAAUAUUGGGCAAUGGACGCAAGUCUGACCCAGCCAUGCCGCGUGGAGGAUGAAGGUCCUCUGGAUUGUAAACUUCUUUUAUCUGGGAAGAAACCCAUCUUUUCUUGGGUGGUUGACGGUACCAGAUGAAUAAGCACCGGCUAACUCCGUGCCAGCAGCCGCGGUAAUACGGAGGGUGCAAGCGUUAUCCGGAUUCACUGGGUUUAAAGGGUGCGUAGGUGGGCAGGUAAGUCAGUGGUGAAAUCCUGUAGCUUAACUACAGAACUGCCAUUGAUACUAUUUGUCUUGAAUACCCUGGAGGUGAGCGGAAUAUGUCAUGUAGCGGUGAAAUGCUUAGAUAUGACAUAGAACAUCUAUUGCGAAGGCAGCUCACUACGGGAAUAUUGACGCUGAGGCACGAAAGCGUGGGGAUCAAACAGGAUUAGAUACCCCGGUAGUCC